rnacentral:rRNA from 1 species
GUCGAACGAAACUUCUUUAUCACCGAGUGCUUGCACUCACCGAUAAAGAGUUGAGUGGCGAACGGGUGAGUAACACGUGGGCAACCUGCCCAAAAGAGGGGGAUAACACUUGGAAACAGGUGCUAAUACCGCAUAACCAUAGUUACCGCAUGGUAACUAUGUAAAAGGUGGCUAUGCUACCGCUUUUGGAUGGGCCCGCGGCGCAUUAGCUAGUUGGUGGGGUAAAGGCUUACCAAGGCAAUGAUGCGUAGCCGAACUGAGAGGUUGAUCGGCCACAUUGGGACUGAGACACGGCCCAAACUCCUACGGGAGGCAGCAGUAGGGAAUCUUCCACAAUGGGCGAAAGCCUGAUGGAGCAACGCCGCGUGGGUGAAGAAGGUCUUCGGAUCGUAAAACCCUGUUGUUAGAGAAGAAAGUGCGUGAGAGUAACUGUUCACGUUUCGACGGUAUCUAACCAGAAAGCCACGGCUAACUACGUGCCAGCAGCCGCGGUAAUACGUAGGUGGCAAGCGUUAUCCGGAUUUAUUGGGCGUAAAGGGAACGCAGGCGGUCUUUUAAGUCUGAUGUGAAAGCCUUCGGCUUAACCGGAGUAGUGCAUUGGAAACUGGGAGACUUGAGUGCAGAAGAGGAGAGUGGAACUCCAUGUGUAGCGGUGAAAUGCGUAGAUAUAUGGAAGAACACCAGUGGCGAAAGCGGCUCUCUGGUCUGUAACUGACGCUGAGGUUCGAAAGCGUGGGUAGCAAACAGGAUUAGAUACCCUGGUAGUCCACGCCGUAAACGAUGAAUGCUAAGUG